AACCCCAGGUCAGGCGG
rnacentral:rRNA from 1 species